rnacentral:lncRNA from 1 species
CAAGAAACUCUGGCACACAACAGCGGAUUGCAAAGUUCUGGUGGCUGUUGCACUGUUGGAAAUGGCUAUGAAAGAAGGGCUAUUGCCUACUUUGUCUACUUAAUUAACUAAUAGGAAUAGAAAUAUAUAAAAUAUAGUUCUUUUUACGAGUCUAACUUUAUCCGUGUUGCAUUGUUGUGCUAGGACUAUUUGGACCUUGCCAAGAAAUUCUUAGCUGUACCAUAACAUUUUUCAAACAUAACAUUUUUCAAACAUAACAUUUUAUCAUGGAAAGUAUAUUAAAAAGACUUUUUUUC